AUUGAACGCUGGCGGCAGGCUUAACACAUGCAAGUCGAGCGGAUGAAGGGAGCUUGCUCCUGGAUUCAGCGGCGGACGGGUGAGUAAUGCCUAGGAAUCUGCCUGGUAGUGGGGGAUAACGUCUGGAAACGGGCGCUAAUACUGCCUACGUCCUGCGGGAGAAAGAGGGGGAUCUUUGGACCUUACGCUAUCAGAUGAGCCUAGGUCGGAUUAGUUAGUUGGUGGGGUAAAGGCCUACCAAGGGGACGAUCCGUAACUGGCCCGAGAGGAUGAUUAGUCACACUGGAACUGAGACAGGGUCCAGACGCCUACGGGAGGCAGCAGUGGGGAAUAGUGGACAGUGGGGGGAAACCUGAUCCAGCCAUGCCGCGUGUGUGAAGAAGGUCUUCGGAUUGUAAAGCACUUUAAGUUGGGAUGAAGGGCAGUAAGUUAAUACCUUGCUGUUUUGACGUUACCAACAGAAGAAGCACCGGCUAACUACGUG
rnacentral:rRNA from 1 species